CAAUGUCUGACACCUAGUAAGUGCUCAACAACUGUUAGCUCUCAUUGUUCCCAAUUUACAGGUAAGAAAACUGAGGUACCAAGACCUGCUCAAGGUUCCAGGUUUAGUAAGUGUUAGGGCAGAGGCAAGCCCGGGCAGCCUAACUCCAGAGCAGGAGCCUUUAAACACUGCACUAUUCCCCCAUAGCCAAAGGGAAACCACAGUGAAGCAAUUUGUGGUUUCGUGAAUGACUCAUUAUUCUGUCCUGGAUUUUCUGCCAGAGAGGCGUGUGAAGUUCUCUGGUGGUUUUAAAAUAUGUCCACAGAUUCUUUGGUGCACCCCUCAUCAAGAGGUGGAGUCUGUUGCUUC
rnacentral:lncRNA from 10 species